GAUAAUAUCAAAAAAGCACAUUGAAGUUAAUCAUUCGAUCUGUAUUCAUCAAGACGAGCACAUCAUUGCCAAAAAAGAUCGAAAAUGUUGCUCGUUGUUGAUUAGCUAUUUUAUUAGCAAGCGCGCAUGCGCAACCAGUUGAGAAUGCAAAGCAAAGUACUGGGAAAGCAGAACUGAAACCACUGAUCAUGCCUACUGCAAGACCAAAGAUAAAUUUUCAACGUCCGAAGGUGCCGGCGCCUCCACCAGAAGAUUUCACAGACGAUGACGGCGAUGUACCGAAUGAUGUCGAGUUUGAUUAUAAUAACAACCCUGACAGUGCAGAGAAUAAAAAUUUAGAACAAGCACAACGUAGGAUCAUCUCACCAUUACUGAAAAAUGUCAGCAAGAUGAUAGGAGCUGGAACGGUGACUGCCGGAGUAAUAUCAGGCGUUGUAAAACCUCUCACAGAGGGCCUUGUUGGUAAAAUGAUGGACUACGCUGUCAGUCAGAUGAAUUCAAAGAAGCCUGUUAGUCGCAUGCUGGUUUUAAUAUUGGAAGCGUCCAAGUUUAUUAUGGAAAUGAUGGACUUUUUGACAAAGCGUGGUAGUUUGAUUCAAAAGAUCAUCGUGGUCAUCUUGAAGUUGUUAAGCGGAACAUUGGGAUCAUUCAAAAAUCUUAAAAAUUAAUUAAAACGUUAAAUGUGAAAGAAUCUGUAUUUUACUCCUUGGUGUAUUAACACGACCAUCUAAAUAAUUCAAUUGUUUGUAUUUCAUUGUUUUUCUGGUUAAUUACCAGAUAAUAACCUGAUUGUUUCACGCUUUUUGUAAAUUAUACUGAUAAGAUACUUUUGUAUAAAUAAAAAAGUAUAAGUCAUGAAAAUUCAUAUUUGUUGCAGAUUAUAGACAAUUAAUAAAUGGCGAUGUCUUAUUUUUUAUUGUUGACGUUUAUUUUGGGGGUUAUAAAUGUUUUCUUGGUGGAUAAAGCUGAAUGCCAAUAUGGACACUAUGGACAACCGCAACCACAAGUGGUUGUUCAGCGAGUUGUUACGCCAUCAUUGGUCAGUCCGCAGACCGCCGAGUUGAUAACAGCGGUUUUGUUUCCGUUGCGAGUAUUAUGUUAUAUUUCGAAGGUUAUUGCUCGCACUUUCUUAGUUUAACUUGUUCAAAUUUGAAAGGUUUUAUUGAUUAAUAUGGUAUUUAUACGUGAAUAGCUUUGAUAAUCACAAAAGAAUAUUGUUUGGUGUGAAUUUAAGAAAUAAAGCUAAUGCAUAUAAAGAA